rnacentral:rRNA from 1 species
GUGGCGGACGGGUGAGUAACGCGUGGGUAACCUGCCUCAUACAGGGGGAUAACAGUUAGAAAUGACUGCUAAUACCGCAUAAGCGCACAGUGCUGCAUGGCACAGUGUGAAAAACUCCGGUGGUAUGAGAUGGACCCGCGUCUGAUUAGCUAGUUGGUGGGGUAAUGGCCUACCAAGGCGACGAUCAGUAGCCGGCCUGAGAGGGUGAACGGCCACAUUGGGACUGAGACACGGCCCAAACUCCUACGGGAGGCAGCAGUGGGGAAUAUUGCACAAUGGGGGAAACCCUGAUGCAGCGACGCCGCGUGAGCGAAGAAGUAUUUCGGUAUGUAAAGCUCUAUCGGCAGGGAAGAAAAUGACGGUACCUGACUAAGAAGCACCGGCUAAAUACGUGCCAGCAGCCGCGGUAAUACGUAUGGUGCAAGCGUUAUCCGGAUUUACUGGGUGUAAAGGGAGCGUAGACGGUUGUGUAAGUCUGAUGUGAAAGCCCGGGGCUCAACCCCGGGACUGCAUUGGAAACUAUGUAACUAGAGUGUCGGAGAGGUAAGCGGAAUUCCUAGUGUAGCGGUGAAAUGCGUAGAUAUUAGGAGGAACACCAGUGGCGAAGGCGGCUUACUGGACGAUCACUGACGUUGAGGCU